rnacentral:tRNA from 1 species
GUGGUGUUGGUAUAGUGGUUAUUAUUUCUGGCUUCCAACCAGAGGACAAGGGUUCGACUCCCUUACACCACA